rnacentral:lncRNA from 1 species
GAAAAGUUAUUCAUUUGUAAUUUAUUCUGCUUUCCUUGUUAGAGCGAUGGGAAUAAUGCCCUCUCCAGCUGUGCCCAUUUCUGGGCUGAUAUCAGUCACCUACUUUUUGAAGCAUCACCCAUGGUGCUAAGUUUUCAUCUGACUACAUGGAAGCAAGAAGUGUACUCCGUGCUCUACCUUACAGCUCUCUGGGGCUGUGUAUGGACAAUACUGGUCAUUGAAGCACAGAUAAAAGAACAUUCUGAAGCUCUUUGCAUUACACUCUGAGAAGCCUCAACAAUGAGUCUCAAACCAACCUAAUAAAAGAAA